UUUGAGAAAGCUAAAGGAAGGUGAAAGAGUCGUGGAUUCAACGUCUAAUAAGAACUUGUCUUCUUUCGUUUUUCUUGGUUUAAGAAUCAAAGUUUUGGUAGGGAACACUGGUUCCUCUUUACCCUUUGCUCUCCCUAAUCACAAUUGUAACAUCUCAAGUAUUAUUAGUCCCAAAAAAAGACACUUGGUUCUGCGUCACACAAGAAGACUUCCUUUGUUGUUAAGGCUGCUUCAACUCCACCUGUCAAGCAAGGAGCAAACAGACCAUUGUGGUUUGCAUCCUCUCAGAGUCUCACUUACUUAGAUGGCAACUUACCUGGAGGCUAUGGAUUCGACCCACUUGGUCUUUCAGACCCAGAAGGUACUGGAGGAUUCAU